UACGUAGGUGGCAAGCGUUGUCCGGAAUUACUGGGCGUAAAGAGCGCGCAGGCGGCUGGUCAAGUCCGAUGUGAAAGCUCCCGGCUUAACUGGGAAAUUGCAUCGGAAACUGAUCGGCUUGAAGGUGGGAGAGGGUAGUGGAAUUCCCGGUGUAGUGGUGAAAUGCGUAGAUAUCGGGAGGAACACCAGUGGCGAAGGCGGGUCUCUGGGCCGAUACUGACGCUGAGGAGCGAAAGCGUGGGGAGCGAACAGG
rnacentral:rRNA from 1 species